UACGGAGGGUGCAAGCGUUAAUCGGAAUUACUGGGCGUAAAGGGUGCGUAGGCGGUUUAUUAAGUUACUUGUGAAAUUCCUGGGCUUAACCUAGGGUGGUCGAGUGAUACUGAUAGACUGGAGUAUGGGAGAGGGCAUUGGAAUUUCCGGUGUAGCGGUGAAAUGCGUAGAUAUCGGAAGGAACACCAGUGGCGAAGGCGGAUGCCUGGCCCAAUACUGACGCUGAGGCACGAAAGCGUGGGUAGCGAAC
rnacentral:rRNA from 1 species